CUAUAGCGCCACCCCUUGUCCACAGGGCCGCUUCAGGAUCAGCCUCUCAGGAACAGGUUUUAAAGUGGCUAAAGACGCCUUGUGGAUCUCCCAGGGUAACUUCGCUGUAGCCGAUGUACAAAAAUCACAGGAUGGUAGCAGAGUGUUGGGAAAGUGCGGAGGCUACUGUGGAAAAUGUACACCGGCAGGCUCCCGUCUGCCAGUGACAGUGGAAUAGAUCCAACUCCUUUAAACAGGUGCUCAUCAUGUCAGUACAUCCCCUCUUUUUGGUGCUACAGCCGACCUAGAGCUCAGACCUGUCCUUCACUUCUUUUUCACUCUAAUGUGUGUAAAUUGUAAAUUAAUGAUGUGUAAGUACUGUACAUAGCAGCAUAAAAAUGUCUUAUUUAUUGUAAUCUCCAUAUAUUUUUAUAUCAUAAUAUAAUUCCAGGGUUUUGUUGUCAAUAUCAAACACCACACCAGUGCCAUUUAUCAGAAUUUUGCCAGAAUGUGCCUUCCACUUUGAAUAUUAGCCACUAGCACUGUUGUUAUAGCACAGUGCGUGUGUUACAGCCAUAUGAUCCUUGUUGUCUUUACUUCAAUAAUGUUGUUGUAGGUUACAAAAACCAAACCAGAAAGAUUAUUCUGCCAGACAUCAGAGAGAAGGAGCUUAGUCUGUACAUCCCUCAGGUAGUGUGCAACGACCAGAGAGGGCCAUUAGCCUUUUAGCUUUUACAGAGCAGACAGGUUAUCUUAUCUGAAGCGACUUAAAAGAAGUCAGGGGGAAAAAAGACUCCACCUUAGGCCAGAUGCUACCUAUAAACCACUGGCCUCCAAUGUCACACAUUCUUCUCUCCAGCUUUGUUUUUAAGAGCCUGUGCACACUGUAUAUACUGAUAUGCUCCUGUUGUGCGCAUUCUGACUUGUUUUUGUAACAAUAUCAGGGUACUUUUUGUAUAUGUAUGGCUUUGUGUGUCUUUAACAAGUGAUAUACAGUUUUUUUUUUGAAGACACAUGAAGAAUUGAGAAAUAAGUCAUGAAGAUGCAAGAAGAAAUGGGUCUUUACAUUCUUUAAGACUUAAGUGUGUAAAGUAGGUAUGUAGGGUACAUAGUGUAUGCACACAUUGUUAAGAAGCCAUAUUUGCUUUUAUAAGAAAUUUAGUAUGGUGCUAUUUCAAUGUCUUAUAUGAUGCUGUGCACACUUCAGCCAAAGGGAAUUUUACAGUCUUCUGCCGCUAUACAAAUAUGAAAUGGGGGAGUAAGCAUUUUGUGCAUUUCUGACAAAUGCUCUUCUCUGUGUGAAUGUCAAAAUAUAGUGUAGUUCAGUCAACAGAGUUCUCAGGUGUCAAACAGUAAAUGAAGGGAUUACUAUGAUAUUUAAUUUGUAUGUAUCUUGUUUUACACAUUUGCCCCGUGUUUACCAGGUAAGUGGACAUGUAUUAUUGAAGUUUAACAAUGUAAAGUGUCUUUAUAUGCACCUCAUUUUAAAUGUAAAUAUUUAUUUUACCUUUUCUUUAUGUGAAUGUACAUAGGCUUUGUCCACAAAUGACUAUGAAUUACCAUAUAGUAUCAACACAAAACUAGAAGGGGCAUUUCCUGAAGAAAAUGCAUGUGAAUGCUGACUGUUGAAUAAAUUACGCUAGCACUGCUAAAGAUGGCUGAAAUUUAUUACUGAAGCAGCUGAAGAUUGAGAUGCAAAGCUAAAUGAUCCUAUAAUAUGAAAAGAAAAGCUGAAGUUGGGAGCUUCGUUAUCUAAACAUGCUGAGAACUGAAAAGCAUCGCUGGAAGGUUUAAUACCAAACUGAG